rnacentral:tRNA from 1 species
GGGUCGCUAGCCCAACGGAAGAGCGCCGCGUUGAAGCCGCGGAGAUCCCGGAUCGAGACCGGGGCGACCCGCCA